UGGUUGGGCACCUGCAGGUCUCAGACAGCGGCUCCUCCUCCUUUAGGCGGAGUCCGGUUGCCCCUCCCGGGCUGACCACCUGUGAGCAAUCGUGCCAGCGGUAUAUCAGACCUGCGCUCUCAACCCCUCAUCGCCUGAGUAUCUGCUAUUCCCAUUGAUAGCACCCGGAGUGGAGAUCUUGUUCCCCUCGCUCCCAUCCUCCUGGACCGGGGCCGCCAGCUGCUUACACAACGUGGCCUGCCAGCCCACCGCUCACCUGCCUGCCUCGACCGCUUCCGGAUUUUCUGCUCCACCUAUCCCCUCCAUCUGAAAACCAAUGCCCCCGGCCCCUGCCUAGUCCUGUUUCUACCUCCCCGCUGUCCCCGCUGUCAGCUGUCUUCCUA